GGAGAUGUACUCAAGUCGGUCGAAGAGGUGCCCCUGCUAAGGGUAUAGGUCGCGAAAGCGGCGCGAGAGUUCGAAUCUCUCCAUCUCCGCCA
rnacentral:tRNA from 1 species